rnacentral:misc_RNA from 1 species
CGUUUUCGUUGCUGUUCUCUCUUGGGGGAUUCUGAUCUUCCCCAUUAUUGCCUUUCUCAUCACACUAAACGCCAUCACAGAAUUUAAAUAUGAAUUAAAAUUUCAGAAGAAUAAGAAAUAAAUUAUUAAAAAAAAGUUUGAAAGAACAAACUUGUCUUCUCAUUUCCUCACUAUUAAAGCUGCGGUUGAUCUUUUGUUGUUUGAAAUGGAAAUAAUUUAUAAUCUUC